rnacentral:misc_RNA from 1 species
AAGUCGUAACAAGGUUUCCGUAGGUGAACCUGCGGAAGGAUCAUUAGAAAUCACCGGCCUAGCCGGUAUAAAAUUCUAUCCACCCUUGUGUGCAAACAAUGGAAAAAGAGAGAAAAUUGGAUACUUUUUGUGUCCAAUCUCUCUAAAAUUUUUAUAAACUCCAUCAAAUUUUGAAUAAAACUAUUUUUUAUAAUAAAAUAUAUUAUACAACUUUCAACAACGGAUCUCUUGGCUCUC